rnacentral:rRNA from 1 species
GAAGCUGGAAUCGCUAGUAAUCGCGGAUCAGAAUGCCGCGGUGAAUACGUUCCCGGGUCUUGUACACACCGCCCGUCACACCAUGGGAGUCGGGAAUGCCCGAAGUCAGUGGCCCAACCGGAAGGGGGGAGCUGCCGAAGGCAGGCCCGGUGACUGGGGUGAAGUCGUAACAAGGUACC